rfam:Ovis aries breed Texel chromosome 9, whole genome shotgun sequence.
UCCUUAGUGGUUCAAUGGUUAGCAGUCAGCACUUUCAUUGCUAUGGCCCCAGGUUCAACCCCUGGUCAGGGAA